UUCCUAUACUACCCUUUAAUGCAACAAUGGGAUGAAGAGAUGAAGACUUCUAGCAGGCUACCUCAGAAAGGUUGCUGACCAAAGGCUGUGUGGACCAAAAAGUCAUAACACCACCCUGGAUGAAAGGACAUUUACCUAAGGAAUUACCCUCUCUCAAUUCUUCCCAGGGAUGGGCAUUUGAAUUAUUUCCAGUUUUUGGCUAUUAUGAAAAAAACUGCUAUGAACAUUCAUACACAAGUGUGUGUGUGGACCCAUGUUUUCACUGAUCAAGGCUAAAUACCUACGUGGUGCUUCGUGAACCCUGGAUGCUACAGUCUCUGGCCACAGCACUAAAUGUAUGCUGAGAUCUGGCUUCACGGUCGAGGGUGUUGCUGGUUUUCAAUGUGCCUGACAUAGGAUCAAUGGUGAAUGCACCAGAAGCCUCAUCAGUCAGAAAAUACUCAGUUUGCCCAUUCAGGCCUUCAUCCUUGUCCACAGCUGAAAGCACGAGAACCACUGUUCCCACUUCAGCAUCUUCUCUCACAGAGGACUGGUAAUAAAGUGUGGGAAAAGAA
rnacentral:antisense_RNA from 1 species